rnacentral:rRNA from 1 species
CAGCAGCCGCGGUAAUACGGAGGGUGCAAGCGUUAAUCGGAAUUACUGGGCGUAGAGCGUGCGUAGGCGGUUCGUUAAGUCUGUUGUGAAAGCCCCGGGCUCAACCUGGGAAUGGCAAUGGAUACUGGCGAGCUAGAGUGUGUCAGAGGAUGGUGGAAUUCCCGGCGUAGCGGUGAAAUGCGUAGAGAUCGGGAGGAACAUCAGUGGCGAAGGCGGCCAUCUGGGACAACACUGACGCUGAGGCACGAAAGCGUGGGGAGCAAACAGGAUUAGAUACCCGCGUAGUCCCUGUCUCUUAUAC